rnacentral:ncRNA from 1 species
UUACGAAAAGGCAAACCUCCAGUAAUGAAGGGACGCAAAGCCACGGGUCUUCUAAGAUAGCCGGGUUGUCGGUA